rnacentral:ncRNA from 1 species
AGGAGCGGAAUGCCGCGAAAGUGGCACGUUCCGUUCUGUACGGGAGGUAGGGGAAGCGAUUCCCCUAUCGACCCUAC